UACGGGGGGGGCAAGCGUUGUUCGGAAUUACUGGGCGUAAAGGGCUCGUAGGCGGCCAACUAAGUCAGACGUGAAAUCCCUCGGCUUAACCGGGGAACUGCGUCUGAUACUGGAUGGCUUGAGGUUGGGAGAGGGAUGCGGAAUUCCAGGUGUAGCGGUGAAAUGCGUAGAUAUCUGGAGGAAGACCCGUGGCGAAGGCGGAUCUCUGGACGGCUAACUGACGCUGAGGCGCGAAGGCCAGGGGAGCAAACGGG
rnacentral:rRNA from 1 species